AAGGAGGAGGAGGAGGAGGAGGAGGAC
rnacentral:ncRNA from 2 species